UAGGGAAUCUUCCACAAUGGACGCAAGUCUGAUGGAGCAACGCCGCGUGAGUGAAGAAGGUUUUCGGACCGUAAAGCUCUGUUGUUGGUGAAGAAGGAUAGAGGUAGUAACUGGCCUUUAUUUGACGGUAAUCAGCCAGAAAGUCACGGCUAACUACGUGCCAGCAGCCGCGGUAAAUCGUAGGUGGCAAGCGUUGUCCGGAUUUAUUGGGCGUAAAGCGAGCGCAGGCGGAAGAAUAAGUCUGAUGUGAAAGCCCUCGGCUUAACCGAGGAAUUGCAUCGGAAACUGUUUUCUGAGUGCAGAAGAGGAGAGUAGAACUCCAUGUGUAGCGGUGGAAUGCGUAGAUAUAUGGAAGAAUACCAGUGGCGAAGGCGGCUCUCUGGUCUGCAACUGACGCUGAGGCUCGAAAGCAUGGGUAGCGAACAGGAUUAGAUACCCUGGUAGUCCAUGCCGUAAACGAUGAGUGCUAAGUGUUGGGAGGCUUCCGCCUCUCAGUGCUGCAGCUAACGCAUUAAGCACUCCGCCUGGGGGAGUACGACCGCAAGGUUGAAAC
rnacentral:rRNA from 1 species